UGGGGAAUAUUGGGCAAUGGGCGAAAGCCUGACCCAGCGACGCCGCGUGAGGGAAGAAGGUCUUCGGAUUGUAAACCUCUUUCAGCAGGGAAGAAGAAAGUGACGGUACCUGCAGAAGAAGUCACGGCUAACUACGUGCCAGCAGCCGCGGUAAUACGUAGGUGGCAAGCGUUAUCCGGAAUUACUGGGUGUAAAGGGUGUGUAGGCGGGAAUGCAAGUCAGACGUGAAAACUUAAGGCUCAACCUUAAGCCUGCGUUUGAAACUGUGUUUCUUGAGAGUGGGAGAGGUAAACGGAAUUCCUG
rnacentral:rRNA from 1 species